GUCGAACGGUGAAGCUCAGCUUGCUGGGUGGAUCAGUGGCGAACGGGUGAGUAACACGUGAGCAACCUGCCCUCCACUUCGGGAUAAGCCUUGGAAACGAGGUCUAAUACCGGAUACGAGCACUUACCGCAUGGUGGGUGUUGGAAAGUUUUUCGGUGGGGGAUGGGCUCGCGGCCUAUCAGCUUGUUGGUGGGGUAAUGGCCUACCAAGGCGUCGACGGGUAGCCGGCCUGAGAGGGCGACCGGCCACACUGGGACUGAGACACGGCCCAGACUCCUACGGGAGGCAGCAGUGGGGAAUAUUGCACAAUGGGCGAAAGCCUGAUGCAGCGACGCCACGUGAGGGAUGACGGCCUUCGGGUUGUAAACCUCUUUCAGCAGGGAAGAAGCGCAAGUGACGGUACCUGCAGAAGAAGCGCCGGCUAACUACGUGCCAGCAGCCGCGGUAAUACGUAGGGCGCAAGCGUUGUCCGGAAUUAUUGGGCGUAAAGAGCUCGUAGGCGGUCUGUCGCGUCUGGUGUGAAAUCCCAUGGCUCAACCAUGGGCUUGCAUCGGGUACGGGCAGACUAGAGUGCUGUAGGGGAGACUGGAAUUCCUGGUGUAGCGGUGGAAUGCGCAGAUAUCAGGAGGAACACCGAUGGCGAAGGCAGGUCUCUGGGCAGUUACUGACGCUGAGGAGCGAAAGCAUGGGGAGCGAACAGGAUUAGAUACCCUGGUAGUCCAUGCCGUAAACGUUGGGCACUAGGUGUGGGGCGGGUUCCACUCGUUCUGUGCCGCAGCUAACGCAUUAAGUGCCCCGCCUGGGGAGUACGGCCGCAAGGCUAAAACUCAAAGGAAUUGACGGGGGCCCGCACAAGCGGCGGAGCAUGCGGAUUAAUUCGAUGCAACGCGAAGAACCUUACCAAGGCUUGACAUGUACGAGAAAGCCCCAGAGAUGGGGUUCUCUUUGGACACUCGUACACAGGUGGUGCAUGGUUGUCGUCAGCUCGUGUCGUGAGAUGUUGGGUUAAGUCCCGCAACGAGCGCAACCCUUAUCCUAUGUUGCCAGC
rnacentral:rRNA from 1 species